UUAGAGUUUGAUCCUGGCUCAGGAUGAACGCUAGCGGGAGGCUUAACACAUGCAAGUCGAGGGGCAGCACAAGUAUUUAUAUUUGGUGGCGACCGGCGGAUGGGUGAGUAACACGUAUGCAACCUACCAUUUACAGGAGGAUAGCCCGGAGAAAUUCGGAUUAAUACUCCAUGUAUCAAUUAAUUCGCAUGAAUUUUUUGAUAAAGUUUUCAACGGUAUUUGAUGGGCAUGCGUCCCAUUAGCUAGUUGGUAAGGUAACGGCUUACCAAGGCGAUGAUGGGUACGGGGUCUUAAAGGAUGAUCCCGCACACUGGCACUGAGACACGGGCCAGACUCCUACGGGAGGCAGCAGUGAGGAAUAUUGGUCAAUGGGGGGAACCCUGAACCAGCCAUCCCGCGUGCAGGAAGACAGUUCUAGUAAUUGUAAACUGCUUUUAUUAAAGAAGAAUAAGUUUGACUUGUCAAAUGAUGACAGUAUUUAAUGAAUAAGCAUCGGCUAACUCCGUGCCAGCAGCCGCGGUAAUACGGAGGAUGCAAGCGUUAUCCGGAUUUAUUAGGUUUAAAGGGUGUGUAGGCGGGAUAAUAAGUCAGUGGUGAAAGUUUUCAGCUUAACUGGAAAAUUGCCAUUGAAACUGUUUUUCUUGAGUUUGGAUGAGGUAUGCGGAAUGUGUAAUGUAGCGGUGAAAUGCUUAGAUAUUACCCAGAACCCCUAUUGCGAAGGCAGCAUGCUAAUCCAUAACUGACGCUGAUGCACGAAAGCGUGGGGAUCAAACAGGAUUAGAUACCCUGGUAGUCCACGCCGUAAACUAUGAUUGCUAAGUAUCGGGGGAUUUCGGUGCUUAAGCUAACGCAGUAAGCACUCCGCCUGGGGAGUACGGUCGCAAGACUGAAACUCAAAGGAAUUGACGGGGACUCGCACAAGCGGUGGAGCAUGCGGUUUAAUUCGAUGCAGCGCGAAGAACCUUACCAGGUCUUGACAGUGUAGAGAAUACUUAAGAGAU
rnacentral:rRNA from 1 species